CGAGGGCCAAAUUUUUAAAGGACCACCCCUCUCAUCCUCCACCUUCUCCCCCCAAUUUCUUCUCCUCCUUCUCACAUCACCAACCCUCUCUCUUUCUCUGUAGCCCCUCUCUCCUCUCUCCUUCUUGCCUUUGAUCAUAAUCUAGGCCGGUAAAGGGUGGUCAUCAGGACUCAAGACUCAUCCCACCAUAAGAAAAAUUUUAGCUCUGGUUCUUGGAGGCCCCAUAGGCCAAAUUAAUGGACGGAAAGUUCAACAACAACCCACUAAUCACUGAGCAAGAAGAGAACGACAAUACAGAAAGUGGUCCUGACUCACCUCCUUCUAGCUUGCUUAACGACAUGAAGAUGACUUCCACUUCCUCACCAAAAAAAAGGCUUUCCUUGUAAAAUUUGUACCUUGGAUUUAUCAGCAAACGGGCGAUUCAAAAGAGAGUAAUCUCGGUGCCAAUCAAGGACGUAGAAGGGUCACGGCUCAAAGGUGAGACUGCCCCGCCACCAUCUGAUUCUUGGGCUUGGAGAAAGUACGGCCAGAAACCCAUCAAGGGCUCACCUUACCCUAGGUAUAUCAAUAUAACCCAUCACAGCUUCUCCUUCAAAUGCUUUCCAUUUUCGUCGUUAGCAAUGUAAUGAUUUUAUCAAGAACGUAUGUUAAUUAUAACCUACAAAAAUGUUCAAGGAUUGGAUUAUUGUAAUGGGUAAUAAAAACAUGGUUCUUUUCUGAAACAUGGGCAGACUAAAGAUAGACGCUGAUUAUGAUAUGACAGUUUUGUCUGUGAUUUUGGUCGUUUUUGCAGAGGAUACUACAGGUGUAGCAGUUCAAAGG
rnacentral:misc_RNA from 1 species